rnacentral:rRNA from 1 species
ACUCAAAUGAAUUGACGGGGGCCCGCACAAGCGGCGGAGCAUGUUGCUUAAUUCGACGCAACGCGAAGAACCUUACCAAGGUUUGACAUGGCCGGAAAACUCAUGGAGACAUGGGGUCCUUCGGGGCCGGUCACAGGUGGUGCAUGGCUGUCGUCAGCUCGUGUCGUGAGAUGUUGGGUUAAGUCCCGCAACGAGCGCAACCCUCGUCCCAUGUUGCCAGCAUUCAGUUGGGGACUCAUGGGAGACUGCCGGGGUCAACUCGGAGGAAGGUGGGGAUGACGUCAAGUCAUCAUGCCCCUUAUGUCUUGGGCUGCAAACAUGCUACAAUGGCCGGUACAAAGCGCUGCGACACCGCGAGGUGAAGCGAAUCGCAUAAAGCCGGUCUCAGUUCGGAUCGGGGUCUGCAACUCGGCCCCGUGAAGCUGGAGUCGCUAGUAAUCGCGGAUCAGCAACGCCGCGGUGAAUACGUUCCCGGGCCUUGCACACACCGCCCGU